GCUCUGUUUACAGAGAGUGGCGCACGGGUGAGUAACAUGUGGGAAUAUGCCUUUUGGUACGGAAUAACUUUUGGAAACGAAAGCUAAUACCGUAUGGUCCCUUCGGGGUAAAGAUUUAUCGCCAAAAGAGUAGCCCGCACUAGAUUAGCUAGUUGGUAAGGUAAGAGCUUACCAAGGCGACGAUCUAUAGCUGGUUUGAGAGGAUGAUCAGCCACACUGGAACUGAGACACGGUCCAGACUCC
rnacentral:rRNA from 1 species